rnacentral:rRNA from 1 species
CCUACGGGAGACAGCAGUGAGGAAUAUUGGUCAAUGGACGCAAGUCUGAACCAGCCAUGCCGCGUGCAGGAAGACGGCUCUAUGAGUUGUAAACUGCUUUUGUACGAGGGUAAACGCAGAUACGCGUAUCUGUCUGAAAUUAUCGUACGAAUAAGGAUCGGCGAACCCCGUGCCAGCAGCCGCGGUACUACGGAGGAUUCAAGCGUUAUCCGGAUUUAUUGGGUUUAAAGGGUGCGUAGGCGGUCGGAUAAGUUAGAGGUGAAAUCCCGCGGCUCAACUGCGGAAUUGCCUUGGAUACUGUGCGGCUAGAGAGUAGUAGCGGUGGGCGGAAUGUAUGGUGUAGCGGUGAAAUGCUUAGAGAUAAUACAGAACACCGAUUGCGAAGGCAGCUUACCAAGCUACAUCUGACGUUGAGGCACGAAAGCGUGGGGAGCAAACAGGAUUAGAUACCCCGGUAGUC